rnacentral:sRNA from 1 species
UUGACAGCUUUGGAAACUGAAGGACUCUAAUUAUCCACAGAACAGGUACAAUAUGGCCAGUGGCAGUGCAAAUCAUUUCAUACUGCCCUGCCAGUGUGCCUCAAAUACAUUUUAGGACCUCAUAUGGCAUAAAAGUUCUGAGGCUUCCUCCCUGUUCAGUCUUUGGUAAGA